CAGUUGUAAAUGAAAAAGGUUCUUAUUGUUUGUUAUCUAAAAACUUGGAACUGACUGACUGGCACAAACUCUGGUUGAGAGGCUAGCCUUAAAUAGAUAACUAAAUUUAACUGUUAGAAAAGUCAGUGAGAUUUAACAUGCUACAAGGUAGGACUCAGCAGAAUGAACCAGUGUGGUAACUGCAAGCUUGCUGCUCAAAUGUGUUCUGUUUAAGUUCUUAACUACUUGCUUGGACUUUACAGUUAGAGUGUGUUUGAUUGACUUGGAAAAUAUCACCUAAAAAAGAAAUGUUUUCCAUCUUUUGUGGAAAAUAAAAACCACCUCUACCCAAGGAAAAUGUUUUCCUUAAAAACAAGGAAAAUUAGACAUAUUUUCAAAAGUUGGAAAAUGUUUUCCAUGGAAAAAAAUAGCAAUCAAACACUCCAAGUAGGAAUUUGGGUGGAAAACUAAUAUUUUUCAUGAAAAAUAAAUGUAAUCAAACACACCCUUAUUGUUUCUGUUUCCAGUAUACUUAUGUGCAUUAGGUGGAUAAAUUUAUCUCCUAAAUUUUCUGUUUUAUCCUAAAUUUUCUGUUCCAAUGCAUUUUUCUGUUCCACGCCAUACUUUCUAGAAAACUGUCAUUCUGAACCAGUUUAAAGUAAUACCUUGAAAAUUGCCGACGAACUUAUUAAAUGAGUCUUUAACUCUGUAUUAUCUUGGACUGGAAAUAUAUCCGUUAAAAAUUUCUUUUGCCGCUCUCGUGCCUCUUAAAUAUAAUAAUCAACUAAUCUUUUUUUCUCAGUUUACUGUUACUCAAAUAAACAUAUUAAACACAUGAAAAGGAAACUAGAAACUAAUGUUUGUAUAUCUGGCAUUUCUAAUUUGCCAUUCCAGUACACUUAUUGCAAGUUGAGUCCAUUCCAUCUGAUGUUAUACACGAUUUUUAGCAUUACGAAAUAUUAAAAUGGUUUCUUUCAGGUGUAUUUUGGAAUGUUAGAUGCUCUAUUAGCUGAAGAGAAAAUUCCAGAGGAAUAUUCUGGUCGGAUUCAGGUUGGCUAUGUUCUAUGUACACUCUUAAUUGGCAUUCUUGAUUAUCUUCUAACUUGGGUAAGAUAAAAAUAAUCCAAAUUGACUGUCUAUGGAUGUGCAGGUUAUACUGUGCAAUGACUGUGAGAAAAGAGGAUCUGUGUCCUUUCACUGGCUCUACCACAAGUGCUCUCACUGUGGUUCAUACAAUACCAGGCUCCUAUGACUCAAAUACUUGGCAAGUUUGGAUUUUGUGUCUUACUCAUCUAGAAACAAAUAAGUCCUGUCGAUUCGUGUGUCAUGUAUGAAACCUAUCAAUUUCCAAGUUUGGAUUUUGUGUCUUACUCAUCUAGAAAUAAAUAAGUCCUGUCGGAUUCGUGUGUCAUGUAUGAAACCUAUCAAUUUCCUCGACUAAUAUAAUUUAUUUUAUCUUUAUAUCUCCAUCUUUCUUACUGAAACUUUU
rnacentral:lncRNA from 1 species